UUAAGCGACUAAGCGUACACGGUGGAUGCCCUGGCAGUCAGAGGCGAUGAAGGACGUGCUAAUCUGCGAUAAGCGUCGGUGAGGUGAUAUGAACCGUUAUAACCGGCGAUUUCCGAAUGGGGAAACCCAGUGUGUUUCGACACACUAUCAUUAACUGAAUCCAUAGGUUAAUGAGGCGAACCGGGGGAACUGAAACAUCUAAGUACCCCGAGGAAAAGAAAUCAACCGAGAUUCCCCCAGUAGCGGCGAGCGAACGGGGAGGAGCCCAGAGCCUGAAUCAGUGUGUGUGUUAGUGGAAGCGUCUGGAAAGGCGCGCGAUACAGGGUGACAGCCCCGUACACAAAAAUGCACAUAUUGUGAGCUCGAUGAGUAGGGCGGGACACGUGGUAUCCUGUCUGAAUAUGGGGGGACCAUCCUCCAAGGCUAAAUACUCCUGACUGACCGAUAGUGAACCAGUACCGUGAGGGAAAGGCGAAAAGAACCCCGGCGAGGGGAGUGAAAAAGAACCUGAAACCGUGUACGUACAAGCAGUGGGAGCCUCUUAAUGGGGUGACUGCGUACCUUUUGUAUAAUGGGUCAGCGACUUAUAUUCUGUAGCAAGGUUAACCGAAUAGGGGAGCCGAAGGGAAACCGAGUCUUAACUGGGCGUUAAGUUGCAGGGUAUAGACCCGAAACCCGGUGAUCUAGCCAUGGGCAGGUUGAAGGUUGGGUAACACUAACUGGAGGACCGAACCGACUAAUGUUGAAAAAUUAGCGGAUGACUUGUGGCUGGGGGUGAAAGGCCAAUCAAACCGGGAGAUAGCUGGUUCUCCCCGAAAGCUAUUUAGGUAGCGCCUCGUGAAUUCAUCUCCGGGGGUAGAGCACUGUUUCGGCAAGGGGGUCAUCCCGACUUACCAACCCGAUGCAAACUGCGAAUACCGGAGAAUGUUAUCACGGGAGACACACGGCGGGUGCUAACGUCCGUCGUGAAGAGGGAAACAACCCAGACCGCCAGCUAAGGUCCCAAAGUCAUGGUUAAGUGGGAAACGAUGUGGGAAGGCCCAGACAGCCAGGAUGUUGGCUUAGAAGCAGCCAUCAUUUAAAGAAAGCGUAAUAGCUCACUGGUCGAGUCGGCCUGCGCGGAAGAUGUAACGGGGCUAAACCAUGCACCGAAGCUGCGGCAGCGACACUAUGUGUUGUUGGGUAGGGGAGCGUUCUGUAAGCCUGUGAAGGUGUCCUGUGAGGUUUGCUGGAGGUAUCAGAAGUGCGAAUGCUGACAUAAGUAACGAUAAAGCGGGUGAAAAGCCCGCUCGCCGGAAGACCAAGGGUUCCUGUCCAACGUUAAUCGGGGCAGGGUGAGUCGACCCCUAAGGCGAGGCCGAAAGGCGUAGUCGAUGGGAAACAGGUUAAUAUUCCUGUACUUGGUGUUACUGCGAAGGGGGGACGGAGAAGGCUAUGUUGGCCGGGCGACGGUUGUCCCGGUUUAAGCGUGUAGGCUGGUUUUCCAGGCAAAUCCGGAAAAUCAAGGCUGAGGCGUGAUGACGAGGCACUACGGUGCUGAAGCGACAAAUGCCCUGCUUCCAGGAAAAGCCUCUAAGCAUCAGGUAACAUCAAAUCGUACCCCAAACCGACACAGGUGGUCAGGUAGAGAAUACCAAGGCGCUUGAGAGAACUCGGGUGAAGGAACUAGGCAAAAUGGUGCCGUAACUUCGGGAGAAGGCACGCUGAUAUGUAGGUGAAGCGACUUGCUCGUGGAGCUGAAAUCAGUCGAAGAUACCAGCUGGCUGCAACUGUUUAUUAAAAACACAGCACUGUGCAAACACGAAAGUGGACGUAUACGGUGUGACGCCUGCCCGGUGCCGGAAGGUUAAUUGAUGGGGUUAGCGGUAACGCGAAGCUCUUGAUCGAAGCCCCGGUAAACGGCGGCCGUAACUAUAACGGUCCUAAGGUAGCGAAAUUCCUUGUCGGGUAAGUUCCGACCUGCACGAAUGGCGUAAUGAUGGCCAGGCUGUCUCCACCCGAGACUCAGUGAAAUUGAACUCGCUGUGAAGAUGCAGUGUACCCGCGGCAAGACGGAAAGACCCCGUGAACCUUUACUAUAGCUUGACACUGAACAUUGAGCCUUGAUGUGUAGGAUAGGUGGGAGGCUUUGAAGUGUGGACGCCAGUCUGCAUGGAGCCGACCUUGAAAUACCACCCUUUAAUGUUUGAUGUUCUAACGUGGGCCCCUUACCGGGGUUGCGGACAGUGUCUGGUGGGUAGUUUGACUGGGGCGGUCUCCUCCUAAAGAGUAACGGAGGAGCACGAAGGUUG
rnacentral:rRNA from 1 species